GCCUCUAUACUGUUGAGGAGGAUGAAAGUAUCAGGGAAAGAGAAUAUCCAACUGGAGCAGAGGGAAAUGAUCCCAUAGUUGGGACCCUUCUCACAG